rnacentral:lncRNA from 1 species
AGACACAAGAAGGUACCAAAGAAAAUGAAAAAACCCUUGGUAGUAACGGAAGCAUGAAAAAUUAAGCGCCCCCAUUUCUCCCAAACCAAGUUCGCGUAUGUUUUCGUGAACAAACACCUUGGAUCUUUCCGGUUCGCCAGGGCAGCGAGCAAAGCAGCAGCGAACGGAAACCCCGCAGGGCUGCGCACCGCAGCUAAACCGACGCUCGCAGGAGAGGGGAAGUGAGUGGCAGGGUUCCCUGCCAAGACUCACUGCUGGGAAACAGGCAGUGAGUGGAAGCAGCAGCAGCUCUGGAGAGUAAGUGGGUCUUAUGUAAAGUGCCAUUUGCCACAUAUUGUUAUUUCCAAAGGAUUUCAGAAUACCCUCGAACUCGAAAAACAGACCCCAGCGGAGACAACACUCUACCUGGACAUUUUAUUUGCUGUAAUGUUCUUACGAGUUGCAAGCCUGGUCCACUUUUUACUUCACAACUAAUGUGGAAGAGAACACAUCUGAUUCCAAGGAGAGGAGACUCAUCUCUUGUCCUCAAUAACAAAUGAGGAAUCUGAAGAGCUUGUUUUAAACAAUUUUGGUGGUCUUACAACCCACUGGCAUAGAAUCUCGAGUGUACUUCUUUCUAUUCACCAUGCCACCUACUUCUACUGCAGACAUGAAAUUAAUCAAGAUCACGUAGAAAUCCAUUGGCUUGGGAGGACAGAACAAUCUUAUUCAUAGAAACAUGAUGUUACUUUAUUAGUAAACAAAUUCAGUAUAAA